rnacentral:lncRNA from 1 species
CAACAUCUUUAUUUUAUUUUUAUGUGGUGCUGAGGAUCGAACCCAGAGCCCCGCGCAUGCCAGGCAAGCACGUUACUGCUUAAGCCACAUCCCCAGCCCUUCAUUUAUUCUUUCCUUAGGACAUUGUCAUUCUGUGCAGUCUUGGAUAGAAAAUAGCAUUUUUUAAACUUCUCCUAUCUACUCCUAUGUGAUAUGUUAACUAUCUUCCUCCAGAGUUUAAACACACGCAUGCGUACACCCACAUGCACAAUUUUUUUCUUAUGUUUCAAUUAUGAUUUAUGGUGGAAUGUGCUUCGAGUUUGUCCUUGUUAAAAUCUGUAUUUUAAAAUUCAGGUUACAGAUGAGGAAGUAGUCUGUGUACUAGACUGGGUUAGGAAUGGUAAUAAAAAGAGGAAGACAGAACCUGGGUGGUGGGAUAGAAACGGGGAGGAGGAAACCAAAACUAGAACAUCUGGUUUAGAAGCUGAUUAUAAGGUAACUUUUACUUAUUUAUUUAUUCAAUAAAUAUUUACUUGAUGGCACUGUAUCUGUAAGAGAUACAAAGAUGUGCUCAGGAUGUUUUAUCCAGAAAAAGGAAAUAGGUCAAAUUGAUUGAGCACUAACUGUGCUAGGGCCUUGUUUAUUUUAUUUUAUUUUUUAAUUUAUUUGUUCUAGUCAAUUACACAUGACAGCAGAAUGUUCUUCGAUUCAUUGUACACAAAUGGAGCACAAGUUUUCACUUCUCUGGUUGUAAGCCAAGUAGGGUCGCAUCACUCAUGCAAUCGUACAUGCACCUACGUAAUGAUGUCAGUCUCAUCCCAGCAUCUUUCCUACCCCCAUGCCCCCUCCCUUCCCCUCCUUAUUUAUUUUAUAUGUUUAGCAUCUUAUGUUUGUUUUAAAUGUAACCCUACCAAUAGCCUGUGAAGUAGAGACAACAUUCAUAUCUGUCAGAUGAAGAAGCUAUGGAGAUAAAUAAUUUGGUCAGAUCCCGCACACCUAGCAGCUUACAAAGUCCUUAUUACAUGACCAUUCAUUCAUUAUCUACUGAGUACCUGCCCACCUGCCCUGUCCUUGGAGCUAGUGGUACUGUGGUGAAGAAGACUCAGUUCCUGUCCUCCUUUAGGUUAUUCUUCUUGUAGGGGAGGAAACAUCUGAUAAUUUUGUAAUUCAUUAAUCAUUUAGGCUAUUUUCUGCAUAGCACAUAAAUAAAUCUUUUAUUUUUAAUGAGCUUAAUAUUGCUCAUUAUAAAAAUGGCACAUACUCUACAUUUUAAAUUUGGAAAAUACAGAUAAGUGGCAAAUAGAAAGUGUUUUUAUAUCUCCCCAAAUUAUUUCCAUCAAAUGACUAGUAUGUCAGUCAUCACAACUCCCAGUCUCAGUGUGUAUGUACUCAUCCAUUGUCACCAUUUUGGUCAUUGGAGGUUGAAUUUAUGGCUAGCUAUCAUCUUUAGUUAAUGUAAGUCCCCUUUAUGGGAUUUACCUUUUUAGGCAUUUUUUUUUAAUAUAGUAAAUAAAUGAAUAAGUUUCUCACUAAUCUAUUUGUGGAAAUAGAAGUCAAAGGGGUAACAGAGCUCUUCCUAAAUAAAGGCCUGUCAAAUAUGGCAUCCAUAUGAGUUAUUCACUCUCCUUUAGUGGGGACAGGAAGACCUAUCACAGGAAAGGGUGUCAUUCUUGCUUUGGAAUAGUAGCCAUGAUCUCCCAGUGUGAACUCUUCAUAGAAGGAAGAAAACUCAUACUAUGGCUAACAUCAGAGGCCUAGUAGUAUAUAGGUCUUUCUUGCAAGAGACACACACCAGUACACACAUUUUUCUUUUCAUGGAUUCAGGUGGCCACUUGAAUAUCAUGACUGAGUAUGAAUGCUUAUGUCACCUUUUGACACCUGCUUUGUGAACUGAUGAAGAUUUAAGCUGUGUCAGAUCCCCACCAUGGACCAGAUUCCCCACCCAUGACUGACCGGCAAUGUCAAGAAAAACAUGCAUCAUGAUAUUUUUAUGCACAUUGUAUAAAUCCACUGUCUUCUUUUUCUUUGCAGGAAGUUCAGGAAAAAGUGUCUUUAUUUAGCCUACAGAUGGAGAUAAGUGGUUUAAUUCCUGGCCUGUUGUCUACGUUCAUUCUUCUAUCUAGUAGUGAUCGCCAUGGGCGAAAAUUCCCUAUGAUUUUAUCUUCCGUUGGUGCUCUUGCAACCAGCAUUUGGAUCUAUUUGCUGUCCUACUUUGCCUUUCCAUUCCAGCUUUUGAUUGCAUCUACCUUCAUUGGUGCAUUUUGUGGCAAUUAUACAACAUUUUAUGGAGCUUGCUUUGCCUAUAUAGUUGAUCAGUGUAAAGAAUCCAAACAAAAAACAAUUCGAAUAGCUAUAAUUGAUUUUAUGCUUGGACUCGUUACUGGACUAACAGGACUGUCAUCUGGCUAUUUUAUUAGAGAACUAGGUUUUGUAUGGUCAUUUUUAAUUAUUGCUAUAGUUCUUACUGUUAACUUGACAUAUAUUUUAUUUUUACUUGAUAAUCCAACGAAAGAGUCUUCAACUCAGAAUGUUACCAUAUCAUGUAGUGAAGGCUUUAAAGACCUAUUUUACCGAACUUACAUACUUUUUAAAAAUGCUUCUGGUAAGCAACGGCUUUUGCUCUGUUUGUUACUUUUUACAAUGAUCACUUUUUUCUUCGUAAUAAGUGGAAUUUCCCCAGUUUUUAUCCUUUAUGAAUUGGGUCCCCGUGAGACGACCUUACUUUAAAAAUAUCC